ACUCCUACGGGAGGCAGCAGUGGGGAAUAUUGGACAAUGGGCGCAAGCCUGAUCCAGCCAUACCGCGUGGGUGAAGAAGGCCUUCGGGUUGUAAAGCCCUUUUGUUGGGAAAGAAAUCCAGCCGGCUAAUACCUGGUUGGGAUGACGGUACCCAAAGAAUAAGCACCGGCUAACUUCGUGCCAGCAGCCGCGGUAAUACGAAGGGUGCAAGCGUUACUCGGAAUUACUGGGCGUAAAGCGUGCGUAGGUGGUUAUUUAAGUCCGUUGUGAAAGCCCUGGGCUCAACCUGGGAACUGCAGUGGAUACUGGAUGACUAGAAUGUGGUAGAGGGUAGCGGAAUUCCUGGUGUAGCAGUGAAAUGCGUAGAGAUCAGGAGGAACAUCCAUGGCGAAGGCAGCUACCUGGACCAACAUUGACACUGAGGCACGAAAGCGUGGGGAGCAAACAGGAUUAGAUACCCUGGUAGCUA
rnacentral:rRNA from 1 species